AGCAGCCGCGGUAAUUCCAGCUCCAAUAGCGUAUAUUAAAGUUGUUGCAGUUAAAAAGCUCGUAGUUGAAUUUCGGGAUCAAAGAAUCGGUCAUGCCUUGGUAUGUACUGGUUUUAUUGGUUCUCACCUUCUAAAGAACCAUGAUGUCAUUCAUUUGAUGUUAUGGGGAAUUAGGACUGUUACCUUGAAAAAAUUUAGAGUGUUUAAAGCAAGCUUACGCUUGAAUACAUUAGCAUGGAAUAAUGAAAUAGGACAUCAGAUUCUAUUUUGUUGGUUUCUAGGAUCGAUGUAAUGAUUAAUAGGGAUAGUUGGGGGCAUUAGUAUUCAAUUGUCAGAGGUGAAAUUCUUGGAUUUAUUGAAGACUAACUACUGCGAAAGCAUUUGCCAAGGAUGUUUUCAUUAAUCAAGAACGAAAGUUAGGGGAUCGAAGACGAUCAGAUACCGUCGUAGUCUUAACCAUAAACUAUGCCGACUAGGGAUCGGAUGAUGUUAAUUUUUUAAUGACUCAUUCGGCACCUUA
rnacentral:sRNA from 1 species